rnacentral:rRNA from 1 species
AGGACGAACGCUGGCGGCGUGCUUAACACAUGCAAGUCGAGCGGAAAGGCCCUUCGGGGUACUCGAGCGGCGAACGGGUGAGUAACACGUGAGUAAUCUGCCCCUAGCUCUGGGAUAGCUCCGGGAAACCGGGAUUAAUACCAGAUACGACCACUUUAGACAUCUUCUGUGGUGGAAAGAACUUCGGCUAGGGAUGAACUCGCGGCCUAUCAGCUUGUUGGUGAGGUAACGGCUCACCAAGGCGACGACGGGUAGCCGGCCUGAGAGGGCGACCGGCCACACUGGGACUGAGACACGGCCCAGACUCCUACGGGAGGCAGCAGUGGGGAAUAUUGCGCAAUGGGCGAAAGCCUGACGCAGCGACGCCGCGUGGGGGAUGAAGGCCUUCGGUUGUAACCCUUUCAGCAGGGACGAAGCGAAAGUGACGGUACCUGCAGAAGAAGCGCCGGCUAACGUACGUGCCAGCAGCCGC